rnacentral:lncRNA from 1 species
AAUUUUAAUAUUUUCUCAACAUCUGUCAUUUCUUUGUAUUUGGGGCCCAAAAUUGGUUGCUGAAAGUAAAGCUGCCUUAGCAUAAAAACAUCACAAUCUCAAGCAUCUCAGCCUGCCUAGAAAAGAAGAGAAAGAGACUAAGACUUUAUUCAUCUGUUUGUCUUUUCUGUUGGUGUAAAAAUCGACAUUCUAAGAAACAUAGCUUUCUUCAAAUAUUUG